AUUGAACGCUGGCGGCAUGCCUUACACAUGCAAGUCGAACGGUAACGGGCCCUCGGGUGCCGACGAGUGGCGAACGGGUGAGUAAUACAUCGGAACGUGCCCGAUCGUGGGGGAUAACGAGGCGAAAGCUUUGCUAAUACCGCAUACGAUCUACGGAUGAAAGCAGGGGACCGCAAGGCCUUGCGCGGACGGAGCGGCCGAUGGCAGAUUAGGUAGUUGGUGGGAUAAAAGCUUACCAAGCCGACGAUCUGUAGCUGGUCUGAGAGGAUGAUCAGCCACACUGGGACUGAGACACGGCCCAGACUCCUACGGGAGGCAGCAGUGGGGAAUUUUGGACAAUGGGCGCAAGCCUGAUCCAGCCAUGCCGCGUGCAGGAUGAAGGCCUUCGGGUUGUAAACUGCUUUUGUACGGAACGAAAAGCCUUCUUUUAAUACAGGAGGGUCAUGACGGUACCGUAAGAAUAAGCACCGGCUAACUACGUG
rnacentral:rRNA from 1 species